GAAGAAGACGUGAGAACCACCUCACCUCUCCUGCAGUUUCCAGCUCCUCACGGUGAGACUCGGUAAUGAAGAGCAAAACGGGACAAGAAGGUCCAAGAACCUGUGAGGGGGACACAAAUGGAGCAGCGGUCCUUGGUCUUUGGCGUGCUCUGCCACUUUCGAGGAAUGACGAAGCUUGAAGAAACCUGCAGAGGCCAUCUAUUCUAUCUUGGACUCACUGGUAAAGAAACUGAGCCCCACAGAAUUUAACUUACUUCAAACUGAAGUCUGAAAAGCAGAAAAAUUGUUGAAUUUGAUCAUUGUUCUUUCUGAUAGUGAACAA